CCCUUAAAAAAAAAUUUUUUUUAUGUUUAUUCAUUUUUGAAAGAGACAGAGCACAAGCAGAAGGUAACUACCGCCAUUAUUAUCAUCAGCCCUAUUCCUGUCCAUUAUCCUGCUUGUAUUAUCUUAUCCCUCUUCCUCCGCCCUCAACCCUCAUUAUUAAGUAUCUUUAUGCCUUUCUUGGGGGAUGAGCAGAAAGGAAGAAUUGUGAAACCUAAAUCCAUCUCCUGUUAUCUGUGUUCCCAGAAAAAAAUCCGUGAAGUGUGUCAGUCCCCUGGGACUGUGUGUCGGGCACUGAGCUCUGUAAAGAAAGGGACAUCUGGAAGAGGUUCCCACACAACAAACUCCUGAGCAAGCCGCCAAAUGCAUCUUGCCUUUCCCCCUCUAAUGGCUCCUUUCAUUAUGGUUCCCUGCACGUCCCAGUUUUAAACAUACUUUUCUAGCAAAAUAAUCCCUCACUUAAAUUAUCUUAAGUAGUUUGUCAGGAGGCAGACCUUAAACUCAUGUGUUACAACUAAAAGUAAAGGAUGCUGCUGAUAUUGCCCUUAGCCCCUGUGAUUUCAUAACUGGCUUUUCUUAAUGUUGAAAAUUAUGUGGGAAUCUCCACUCCUACCUCUGAGAGGCCCAAGCAGCUGGGGGCCCCUGUCCAUUGCAUUCAAAGUCUUUGAGAGAAGGUAUAGGGAGGGCAAUUCUUUUCUUGCUUCAAAGUACAGUCCACCUUCUUGGAAGGUGCAAAGGAAGCAGGCAGGGAGUCUCUUUAUGAAGUAAAUUGUCCACUGGUGAUGGGAAUGAUCUGUUUUCCGAGUUUGGGAUACUUGGAAAACACCUACUUUCGUUAUGCCCCUGCUGAGCUGGUGGCUUUGACUCCUCAGACCCAGAAGGGUCAAGACAGGUCUUUCACGUCACAGCUCAUCAUGCAGCUGCCCAGUGGCCAAACCUGGGGGGCGACUGGACUGUGGUAACCCCAGAAGCUGGCCCACAAACGGAAAAUACCAUGUCGUUUGGGCUUAGCCUGACAGUACAAGGCUCUUUGUUAUCCUCCAGAAGAAGCUUACAAAGUAUAAAAGCCACCUAAGAAAGUCAAUAGUCUGGUUUUCCACACCUCCUAAGUUUACAGAGGAGCCAAAAAACUCCAAAUCAAAGAUUCAAAUCUAGGUCCUUGUCCCUACCUCGAGACGGGGCCUCCGGGGUCUAUGAGGAGUCUGUCUAAGACAUCUUGUAAUUGAAAGACAGAGGAAAUGAAGGCAGGGUAAAGGCAGGGGUUGAGGGGCUUGGUUUACGGUCCUCACCUGGCUACAGCAUCAUUAAACAGUGAGUCCAGAAAACAGAGGGUAUUAAGGGAAGUGACAGGGUCCUUAAGGCUUCAAAUCAGGAGUGGUCUGUGCUCUUUGUGUGGAUCUGAGAGAGGAGAGUCGAGAGGUUGGGGGAGGCAGCAAAGAUAAGAAGCAGCUGGGUGUCAUAUUACAAAGCUGAAAGAAAGAAGUGGAGAAACCAAGAACAUGCAAAAGAAAGAUCAGAGAGAGUUAUUAUUGUGCAAUAUGCCCAUUGCAGACAGACAGGCGGCAUUGGCCUUUCAUCUUUCUUAGCCUCAGAUUCCAAGAAAGCCUUUGCUGCAGCCUGGUCAGUCACACACAGGCACCGGCUGGGGAGAAUGUCAAAGUCCUGGCAAAUUCCACUCUGGACAAGACGGUAAACUUGGGAAACAUCUGCGACUUUUUCAGUUUACAAAGACUUCCUCUCAAGCCAUUAAAACAUGACAAGCCCUGUGUCCUGGAGCCUUGGAAGCACAGUGGAACACCAACAGAAAAACCAACCAACCAACACAACCAACAGAUAAACUAUCAUACUCAUG